CGGGACACGUGGUAUCCUGUCUGAAUAUGGGGGGACCAUCCUCCAAGGCUAAAUACUCCUGACUGACCGAUAGUGAACCAGUACCGUGAGGGAAAGGCGAAAAGAACCCCGGCGAGGGGAGUGAAAAAGAACCUGAAACCGUGUACGUACAAGCAGUGGGAGCACAGAGCAAUCUGUGUGACUGCGUACCUUUUGUAUAAUGGGUCAGCGACUUAUAUUCUGUAGCAAGGUUAACCGAAUAGGGGAGCCGAAGGGAAACCGAGUCUUAACUGGGCGUUAAGUUGCAGGGUAUAGACCCGAAACCCGGUGAUCUAGCCAUGGGCAGGUUGAAGGUUGGGUAACACUAACUGGAGGACCGAACCGACUAAUGUUGAAAAAUUAGCGGAUGACUUGUGGCUGGGGGUGAAAGGCCAAUCAAACCGGGAGAUAGCUGGUUCUCCCCGAAAGCUAUUUAGGUAGCGCCUCGUGAAUUCAUCUCCGGGGGUAGAGCACUGUUUCGGCAAGGGGGUCAUCCCGACUUACCAACCCGAUGCAAACUGCGAAUACCGGAGAAUGUUAUCACGGGAGACACACGGCGGGUGCUAACGUCCGUCGUGAAGAGGGAAACAACCCAGACCGCCAGCUAAGGUCCCAAAGUCAUGGUUAAGUGGGAAACGAUGUGGGAAGGCCCAGACAGCCAGGAUGUUGGCUUAGAAGCAGCCAUCAUUUAAAGAAAGCGUAAUAGCUCACUGGUCGAGUCGGCCUGCGCGGAAGAUGUAACGGGGCUAAACCAUGCACCGAAGCUGCGGCAGCGACACUAUGUGUUGUUGGGUAGGGGAGCGUUCUGUAAGCCUGUGAAGGUGUGCUGUGAGGCAUGCUGGAGGUAUCAGAAGUGCGAAUGCUGACAUAAGUAACGAUAAAGCGGGUGAAAAGCCCGCUCGCCGGAAGACCAAGGGUUCCUGUCCAACGUUAAUCGGGGCAGGGUGAGUCGACCCCUAAGGCGAGGCCGAAAGGCGUAGUCGAUGGGAAACAGGUUAAUAUUCCUGUACUUGGUGUUACUGCGAAGGGGGGACGGAGAAGGCUAUGUUGGCCGGGCGACGGUUGUCCCGGUUUAAGCGUGUAGGCUGGUUUUCCAGGCAAAUCCGGAAAAUCAAGGCUGAGGCGUGAUGACGAGGCACUACGGUGCUGAAGCAACAAAUGCCCUGCUUCCAGGAAAAGCCUCUAAGCAUCAGGUAACAUCAAAUCGUACCCCAAACCGACACAGGUGGUCAGGUAGAGAAUACC
rnacentral:rRNA from 1 species